AUUGAACGCUGGCGGCAGGCCUAACACAUGCAAGUCGAGCGGAUGAAGGGAGCUUGCUCCUGGAUUCAGCGGCGGACGGGUGAGUAAUGCCUAGGAAUCUGCCUGGUAGUGGGGGAUAACGUCCGGAAACGGGCGCUAAUACCGCAUACGUCCUGAGGGAGAAAGUGGGGGAUCUUCGGACCUCACGCUAUCAGAUGAGCCUAGGUCGGAUUAGCUAGUUGGUGGGGUAAAGGCCUACCAAGGCGACGAUCUGUAACUGGUCUGAGAGGAUGAUCAGUCACACUGGAACUGAGACACGGUCCAGACUCCUACGGGAGGCAGCAGUGGGGAAUAUUGGACAAUGGGCGAAAGCCUGAUCCAGCCAGGCCGCGUGUGUGAAGAAGGUCUUCGGAUUGUAAAGCACUUUAAGUUGGGAGGAAGGGCAGUAAGUUAAUACCUUGCUGUUUUGACGUUACCAACAGAAUAAGCACCGGCUAACUUCGUG
rnacentral:rRNA from 1 species